GUAAAAAAAAAACAACUGAAAAAAGGAAGGUGAAUCAAUCUGUGCCCAGCUCUGGAGGGUGACUGAUGAGGAGAUGGAAGGUGGGUGUGGAGAGCUACUCAUCCUGCGGCCACCCAAGACAAGCCUCAAAAAUUGGGGUACUGUGAUUUUGGGAGGGAGACCAGAGAAGAUGCCAUUUUCAUCAUAUCACAUCAAGAGUAUCUACUGUCAAUGUGACAUGACUGUUGAUGUUCACCUUGCUCACCUGACUGAGGGCAAAUCUGCUGAUGAAAAAUUCCUUCAGUUUUGGUUUGUCUAAAAACUAUUUCCUUUUUACUUUUGAAGAAUAAUUUCAUUGAAUACACAAUUCUAAUUUGGUAGGGUGUCUUUCAAUAUUUAAGUAUUUCGCUCAAUUCUUCUUGCUAUUAUGGUUUCUGAUUUUAAAAAUCCACUUUAAUUUCUAUCCUUAGU